AAAAAAAAAAGUACUUCCAUUUUAUCUUCACUUAAUGGGUGAGAAAUAAAGGUUGAGAUCAUGGAAAAUAAAAAGAUUAAUUUUAUUAUAGGAAUUUUUUGAGACUUUAGUUUGGUAUAUAUGAUUAUCACAUCUUAAUUAACUUGAAUGUUUGCUUAAAUAUAGCAGCUGCUCAGCCAGGAACUGAGAUCUUUAAUCUGCCAGCAGUUACUACGUCAGGCUCAGUUAGCUCUAGAGGCCAUUCUUUUGCUGAUCCUGCCAGUAAUCUUGGGCUGGAAGACAUUAUCAGGAAGGCUCUCAUGGGAAGCUUUGAUGACAAAGUUGAGGAUCAUGGAGUUGUCAUGUCCCAGCCUAUGGGAGUAGUGCCUGGUACUGCCAACACCUCAGUUGUGACCAGUGGUGAGACACGAAGAGAGGAAGGGGACCCAUCACCUCAUUCAGGAGGAGUUUGCAAACCAAAGCUGAUCAGCAAGUCAAACAGCAGGAAAUCUAAGUCUCCUAUACCUGGGCAAGGCUACUUAGGAACCGAACGGCCCUCUUCAGUCUCCUCUGUACAUUCAGAAGGGGAUUACCAUAGGCAGACGCCAGGGUGGGCCUGGGAAGACAGGCCCUCUUCAACAGGCUCAACUCAGUUUCCUUAUAACCCUCUGACUAUGCGGAUGCUCAGCAGUA
rnacentral:sRNA from 1 species